AUUGAACGCUAGCGGGAUGCUUUACACAUGCAAGUCGAACGAGUGGCGGACGGGUGAGUAAUAUAUCGGAACGUGCCCAGUAGCGGGGGAUAACUACUCGAUAGAGUGGCUAAUACAGCAUACUAUUGGAGCGGCCGAUAUCGGAUUAGCUAGUUGGUGGGGUAAAGGCUCACCAAGGCAACGAUCCGCAGCUGGUGUGAGAGGACGAUCAGCCACACUGGGACUUAGACACGGCCCAGACUCCUACGAGGUGCAGCAGUGGGGAAUUUUGGGCAAUGGGGUAAACCCUGAUCCAGCCAUGCCGCGUGUAUGAGAAGGCCUUCGGGUUGUAAAGUACUUUUGGCAGAGAAGCGGUAUCUGCAGAAUAAGCGCCGGCUAACUACGUGCCAGCAGCCGCGGUAAUAC
rnacentral:rRNA from 1 species